AAUAAGCGGAGGAAAAGAAACCAACAGGGAUUGUCUUAGUAACGGCGAGUGAAGCGACAAAAGCUCAAAUUUGAAAUCUGGCACCUUCGGUGUCCGAGUUGUAAUUUGAAGAAGGUAACUUUGGAGUUGGCUCUUGUCUAUGUUCCUUGGAACAGGACGUCACAGAGGGUGAGAAUCCCGUGCGAUGAGAUGUCCAACUCUAUGUAAAGUGCUUUCGAAGAGUCGAGUUGUUUGGGAAUGCAGCUCUAAGUGGGUGGUAAAUUCCAUCUAAAGCUAAAUAUUGGCGAGAGACCGAUAGCGAACAAGUACAGUGAUGGAAAGAUGAAAAGAACUUUGAAAAGAGAGUGAAAAAGUACGUGAAAUUGUUGAAAGGGAAGGGCUUGAGAUCAGACUUGGUAUUUUGUAUGUCUUGCUUUCGGGUGGGGCCUCUGCAGUUUACUGGGCCAGCAUCGGUUUGGACGGUAGGAUAAUGACAUUGGAAUGUGGCACUACUUCGGUGGUGUGUUAUAGACUUUGUUGAUACUGCCUGUCUAGACCGAGGACUGCGUCUUUGACUAGGAUGCUGGCAUA
rnacentral:rRNA from 2 species